GAGUUUGUCCUGGCUCAGAGCGAACGCUGGCGGCAGGCCUAACACAUGCAAGUCGAGGGGCCGUAGCAAUACGGCACCGGCAGACGGGAGAGUAACACGUGGGAACGUGCCCAUCAGUUCGGAACAACCCAGGGAAACUUGGGCUAAUACCGGAUACGCCCUUACGGGGAAAGAUUUAUCGCUGAUGGAGCGGCCCGCGUCUGAUUAGCUAGUUGGUGAGGUAAUGGCUCACCAAGGCGACGAUCAGUAGCUGGUCUGAGAGGAUGAUCAGCCUCACUGGGACUGAGACACGGCCCAGACUCCUACGGGAGGCAGCAGUGGGGAAUAUUGGACAAUGGGCGCAAGCCUGAUCCAGCCAUGCCGCGUGGAUGAUGAAGGCCUUAGGGUUGUAAAGUCCUUUCGGCGGGGAAGAUAAUGACGGUACCCGCAGAAGAAGUCCCGGCUAACUCCGUGCCAGCCGCCGCGGUAAG
rnacentral:rRNA from 1 species